CCCUAAUAGGCCUGUUCCUAGUGUUCAGAGAUCUCUAUUUAAACCACCCACCAUAGGUGGAGUUCAUUUAAAUUCUGUUUGGAUAGGACACCCCUCCACCUCCAGACCCUUUGAUAAAGUAUAAAAUAGUUGGAAGAGUGAAAGAUGCACCCAGAAAGACAAGUGAACUAACACGUAUGCCAUACCUGAUCAGGUACAGGACAUUGUUCAGAUUUCCAUAGGAACGAAAACAGGCAAGAAACAAUACAGUGAAUGUGGAUUAGAAUUAGGCAGAAAUGGGAAAGAGAACUGAAACAAACAAAGAAACAAGAGAGGGAUUCGUAUGGAGUGACUGAGAAGUUCAAGAAGAUGGAUGAAAGUUGGAGAAGGGAAGUUCCUUCAAAGCCACACUAAAGACUGUGGGGUUUUUUGUUUUUUUGUUUUUAUGGCCAUCUACAAAUAUUCUGCAUGAACUUUGGAGCCCCACAGACCUAACUGUAAAUCUGCCUUCCCCACUGAUUCCUUGUGUGACUUUGGACAAGUUUCUUCACCUGUGUGCCUUAGCUGUUUAUCCAUCCCCUAAAAUGGGAUGAGUGUGUAUUAUCCCGAGAAUAAUACAUGGCAAAUAAUAGUGAAAUAAAACACGG
rnacentral:lncRNA from 1 species